AUUGAACGCUGGCGGCAGGCCUAACACAUGCAAGUCGUGCGAGCGGCGGACGGGUGAGUAAUGCAUGGGGACUGCCUGAUGGAGGGGGAUAACGACUGGAAACGGUAGCUAAUACCGCGUACCAUACGAUAACCCAUAUGGUAUUAGCUAGUAGGUAAGGUAACGGCUUACCUAGGCGACGAUCCCUAGCUGGUCUGAGAGGAUGAUAAGCCACAGUGGGACUGAUACACGCGCCAGACGCCUACGGAGGCAUCAGUGGGGAAUAUUGCACAAUGGGCGCAAGCCUGAUGCAGCCAUAGCGCGUGUAUGAAGAAGGCCGUCGGGUUGUAAAGUUCUUUCUGUCUGGAGGCGUUAACGACAGAAUAAGCACCGGCUAACUCCGUGCCAGCAGCCGCGGUAAGUC
rnacentral:rRNA from 1 species